UACGUAGGGGGCAAGCGUUGUCCGGAAUCAUUGGGCGUAAAGAGCGUGUGAGCGGCCCGGUAAGUCCGUUGUGAAAGUCCAGGGCUCAACCCUGGAAUGCCGAUGGAUACUGCCGGGCUAGAGUUCGGAAGAGGCGAGUGGAAUUCCUGGUGUAGCGGUGGAAUGCGCAGAUAUCAGGAGGAACACCAAUUGCGAAGGCAGCUCGCUGGGACGUAACUGACGCUGAUGCGCGAAAGCGUGGGGAGCAAACA
rnacentral:rRNA from 1 species